rnacentral:rRNA from 1 species
CAGAUGUGAAAGACCCGGGGCGUCAACCUACCGGAAUUGCAUUUGUAAACUAGGCAAACUAGAGUACUGUAGAGGGGGUAGGAAUUUCAGGUGUAGCGGUGAAAUAGCGUAGAGAUCUGAAGGAAUACCGGUGGCGAAGGCGGCCCCCUCGGACAGAUACUGACACUCAGAUGCGAAAGCGUGGGGAGCAAACAGGAUUAGAUACCUGGUAG